AAUGGAUAGCGCUAGUACCUGCGUGAGGAACAGGUAGACGAGGUAGAGAAGAAUCGAACAUUCAGCGGAUGUCUCUCGGCAGCUCCGGCCGUUACGUGGCGGCAAAGAAUACUGGUAACAGUGUGGACAAAAAC
rnacentral:ncRNA from 1 species